rnacentral:rRNA from 1 species
AAAAUUGCACAAUGGGGGAAACCCUGUUGCAGCGACGCCCCGUGAGCGAAGAAGGCCUNUGGGUCNUNAAGCUCUGUUCUAAGGGNCAAAACGGAAGGUACCUUAGGAGGAAGCCCCGGCUAACUACGGUCCAGCAGCCGCGGUAAUACGUAGGGGGCGAGCGUUAUCCGGAAUUAUUGGGCGUAAAGGGUGCGUAGGCGGCCUUUUAAGUCAGAUGUGAAAAGGUACGGCUUAACCGUAGUUAGCAUUUGAAACUAAAGAGCUAGAGUGCAGGAGAGGAGAGUGGAAUUCCUAGUGUAGCGGUGAAAUGCGUAGAUAUUAGGGGGAACACCAGUGGCGAAGGCGGCUCUCUGGACUGCAACUGACGCUGAGGCACGAAAGCGUGGGGAGCAAACA